GACGAACGCUGGCGGCGUGCCUAAUACAUGCAAGUCGAGCGGAUGACGGAGGAGCUUGCUCCUCCUGAUUCAGCGGCGGACGGGUGAGUAACACGUGGGCAACCUGCCCUGUAGAUUGGGAUAACUCCGGGAAACCGGGGCUAAUACCGAAUAAUCCUUCGGACCUCAUGGUCCGAUGUUGAAAGACGGCAUCUCGCUGUCACUACAGGAUGGGCCCGCGGCGCAUUAGCUAGUUGGUGAGGUAACGGCUCACCAAGGCCACGAUGCGUAGCCGAGCUGAGAGGGUGAUCGGCCACACUGGGACUGAGACACGGCCCAGACUCCUACGGGAGGCAGCAGUAGGGAAUCUUCCACAAUGGACGAAAGUCUGAUGGAGCAACGCCGCGUGAGUGAAGAAGGUUCUCGGAUCGUAAAACUCUGUUGUGAGGGAAGAACAAGUACCGGAGUAACUGCCGGUGCCUUGACGGUACCUCAUUAGAAAGCCACGGCUAACUACGUGCCAGCCGCCGCUGUAAAAC
rnacentral:rRNA from 1 species